CCCGGCCGCCGCCUGAGGGGAGAGGAGGCGCCGCCGCCGCCCCUCCGUCAGGCCCCGGAGCUCCGCGCCGCGCCGAGCGGCCCUGCCUCGUCCUCCGGCGCUCUCUGCUGAACCACGGCGGCCCUGUGCAUGAAUUAUGUCUGCCACAAGCGUUGACCCUCAGAGACCGAAAGGACAGGAUAAUAAAGUACAAAAUGGUUCGUUACAUCAGAAGGACACAGUUCAUGACAACGAUUUUGAACCUUACCUUUCUGGGCAGUCAAAUCAGAACAGUAGCUAUCCAUCAAUGACUGAUCCUUAUCUGUCCAGUUAUUAUCCACCAUCUAUUGGGUUCCCCUAUUCUCUCAGUGAAGCACCAUGGUCUACAGGAGGAGAUCCUCCUAUUCCUUAUCUCACCACCUAUGGACAGCUCAGUAAUGGGGAUCAUCAUUUUAUGCACGAUGCCGUUUUUGGACAGCCUGGGGGUCUGGGAAAUAAUAUCUAUCAACACCGGUUUAACUUUUUCCCUGAAAAUCCUGCCUUCUCAGCUUGGGGAACAAGCGGAUCCCAAGGACAGCAGACACAAAGCUCAGCAUAUGGGAGCAGUUACAGCUACCCACCCAGUUCCCUGGGGGGUACCAUUGUGGAUGGACAAACAGGAUUUCAUAAUGACACAUUAAAUAAAGCUCCUGGAAUGAACAGUAUUGAACAGGGAAUGGUUGGACUUAAGAUUGGUGGAGAUGUUACAACUUCUGCAGUGAAAACAGUAGGUUCUGUUGUUAACAGUGCCGGGAUGACAGGUGCCCUCUCUGGGAAUGGUGGAUCUAAUGUAAACUUGCCAGUAUCUAAACCAACCUCUUGGGCUGCUAUUGCCAGCAAGCCUGCAAAACCACAGCCUAAAAUGAAAACAAAAUCUGGACCUGUAAUUGGAGGAGCGUUGCCUCCUCCCCCUAUAAAGCAUAAUAUGGACAUAGGUACUUGGGACAAUAAGGGUCCUGUGGCGAAAGUUCCUGCCCCCCAACAGAUACCUUCUCCUCAGUCUGUUCCACAGCCACAGCAACCAAUUGUUCAGCCUGUUCCAGCUCAGCCUCCUCCAUUGACUCAGCCACAGUAUCAGACCCCUCAGCAGCCACCCCAAAACCGCUGGGUAGCUCCUCGCAACAGAAAUGCAGCUUUUGGCCAAAGUGGAGGAACUGGGAACGACACCAACUCAGCUGGCAGCACCCAGCCCAACCCAGUUCCAAGUGGUGAGUCCCAUCCUGUCCUUGAAAAACUGAAAGCUGCUCACAGCUAUAACCCUAAAGAUUUCGAAUGGAACCUUAAAAAUGGACGUGUGUUCAUAAUAAAGAGCUAUUCCGAGGAUGAUAUUCAUCGUUCCAUUAAAUAUUCUAUUUGGUGUAGUACGGAACACGGCAACAAACGCCUGGACAGCGCUUUUCGCUCCAUGAACAGCAAGGGCCCGGUGUAUUUGCUGUUCAGUGUCAACGGCAGUGGACACUUCUGUGGAGUAGCAGAGAUGAAAUCACCUGUGGACUAUGGCACCAGUGCAGGUGUCUGGUCUCAGGACAAGUGGAAGGGGAAAUUUGAUGUCAAGUGGAUCUUUGUGAAGGAUGUGCCCAACAACCAACUGAGACACAUCAGGCUGGAGAACAAUGACAACAAACCCGUUACAAACUCCCGUGAUACACAGGAGGUGCCCUUAGAAAAAGCAAAACAAGUGCUUAAAAUUAUUGCUACUUACAAGCACACGACCUCCAUCUUUGAUGACUUUUCUCAUUAUGAAAAGCGCCAGGAAGAGGAGGAGGUGGUGCGGAAGGUAAACUUAUUAAAAAAUUUAUUUUAUACACAGAUAUGGGGAAAAUGAAAUGUGAAGGCUGCUAUGGUGGAAAAAAUGUAAGUAGGAAUUCAAAAUGUUUUUAAUACAUCUCAACUUGAUGGUUUCUUCUGUGUUUAACAACACAAAUCUGAUGCAUAUUUCUCUGUGAAAGUUUCACGAGUCAAUGAGUUUCAAAGCAGAAAGCUAAGCAGUAAUACGGGUAAAGGACUUUAUGUCCAGUUUAUUGGAGUUUGAUUUAUUUUUUUAUCUUAAAAUGGUUAAUAGAAAAUAGUUUCUGUUUCGGAAUUGGGUUCUGCCAGUGAUUGUCACUUAAGUUUUUUGCCUUAAAUAUGAGGUGUUUUAACACUGUUUGACUGGAACUGGGCUAUCAAAAUUGAUACCUGUAUUGGUAUUUGAAAUUUGUACAUCACCUUUAAGAAUAAGAAACCUGAUUUUGUUUAUUCAGUUUAUCUCUCUGGAAAAGAAAUAGUUGCAUAAUAUUGCUGGAAUAGCGCUAGAAAGAGUGCAUUUAUGCUGCUGAAGUCACAUGUAUUAUUUGGCUAAAUAAAGGUUUUCAGUUCCCAGGUUUAAUCUGUCUACUAAUUCUUGAAGUUUUGAGUGAAGAUGCAGUGAGAGAAGUCUGAGCAGUAACUGGGAGAGUGUUGUAAAACUUCCCAUACACUUUAAUGGCUCUAAGUCUAACACAAGGGAUCUCUGUCCCUCUCCAUCCCACAACCUCAGUUUCAAGAAUGCCUUUCUCUAAUUUGGCUGUCUAGAAGUAAUGGCCUGGCAAAAUAAUAGGCGUCAGAAUCUGUAGUUGCUACUGAAGUAACACUUAAAUUUGCUUGGUGUUGAUAGUGUUUCCUAGACCUUUUUUGUAUACCAUUGCAAAUGCAGCAUUUGUUUGACUGGUUGGUUUAGUUUAGGGUAGCUCACACUUUGUUUUAAGGUGUUUUUAAAGCAAAGACUUAAUGCGUGUUCCUGCAGCUUAAAUUUUAAAAUUGCCAUUUUAAAGUUCUUCUUGCCAUUUAAAAGUAUAGAUAAGAUUGCUUUAAGCUGUCUUCACAGAUUGUACCCUUAAAUUAUGUAAGAAAAGGAGUUCAGUGUCUUUAAAACUUUGAGGCUGAACUUUUCUUGGCCAUGACAGAUCUGCAUAGCUGACCUCAGCACAGCAGGGAAGGACAGCUUAAAAUUGCAAGUUUUUCUUGUGUACUCCCUGUGGGGUUCCGCAAGGUAAAACCUACAGGGCUUUACUUGAACCCUUUAUUCUUUCAGUAGAUAAUUAGCAAUUCAAUAUUUAAUGCUGCCUGUGUCUUGGAGAGGUGUUCCCUUAUGUAGGAGACAAUCUUGACAAAGUGAGGCAGCCUGGGUUCCAGUGUUUGUAGCGGGGUGUGAUUGCUUUGGGUUUUUAAUUCUGUCUCCCUGUGCUCUGCUGCCAAGGCUGGAGGGGAGAACUGUGGGUGUUUGAGAAGUGAGAGCACAGGGAAAGUGAUAACAGAUCUACACUUACACAGAUAACUCCCUGGCCUGAGCAAGAUCCCAGUGGAUCUGCAAACACCAGAGUUUCUGUGCUUUGUAGGAUCUCAGAGGGCUGGUGUUUGGCUAUUGAGCUGAUCUCAUCUUGGAUUGAUUUAAUAAACACAACUAAUUCCCACUAUCUGCUCAAAAAUAUUCUUACCCAGCUCACUGCUUUAUUUGUAACAGGAUCAGUUUUUCAAAAUAAUGCAUUUUCCUUCCUCAUUUAAAACAGAGGCUCUGGCUUGUAUUAUAGAUUAACAGAAUAUACUAUGAAGUCUAAUUUAGUAUUUCUUAGAUUCCACUGAAUAGCUUAGAAAAUGGGACACCAAACUACUCCAAGGAAGAUAAUAGAGAGCUAGAGAGCUGAAGCAGAGCAGCAAUGAAGGAAUGAAAAAUAAGAUGCUGCUUGUCAGGUUGCACUCUAUAAAACUUGUCUGGAAGUCACUAUUUUUCCCUUUUGUUGACAAAAUGAAUUUUAGAAGUCAAGCUGAUUUCUAGAAGAGUUUGUUCUUUAACAGGAUAUACACGCACCUUAAAUUCUUAUUGUUAAGAAGUUUGUGCUUUUGAAGUUCAAACCUUCCUGUUAAAAAAGUUAUUCUUCCUAUGACAGUAAUUUUUGAAUAAUCUUAUUGUCAGUUAAAGUAUCUUAUGACCUAAUUGGCAUUUUCAGAUAGUUGUUUUUAUAAGUGCCAUCUCAACUGGUUUUAACUCAUUAUACUCUUGUUUAGCUGUAAAAUAGUUGAAAUUCUGUGCUUCCAUUUCAUUUGUGAUUACAUAGGGACACAAUUCUUGGAAAGCUGUACAUGGAGAGCUUAAAUGAUACAAUUUAACUUAUACACAAAUAUUUAGUAGAGAAUAAUAACUUAAUCUGUGCAGGGCAAGCCACUGGCAUUUCAGCUCUUUAGAUGGUUUCAGUUUGUUGCUAACCAACCAGCUUUUCCAUGGCUGCUGUGUGCAGAGCCAGCUCCAGCUGCUGAGUUUAACUGAUGUAGGAGCCCUCAGUGUCAGUGCCAAAUCAUCCAGUGGGGCCUUUGGCAGGUGUAAUGCUGGAUGAAAUACUUUCAAGUGCUAAAGAUUCAUCACUUUGCAGCAUUGCUGAAAGAAGAUAUCCCUCCAGAACUGAGAGAGGAUUUGGUCAUGCUGGAGUGUAAGUCCAGCUUUUGAUUUGGCACACUGAAAUACGUAAAACCAGUCUGAUGACCCAGAACCUGGGAGGGGAGUAAUGGAAGGGUAUUGGGGUCUGGAAUGAAAUAGCAAAACAGUGAGUGGCAUGAAUUUUCACCUGACCCUCACAGCCUUUUUCAGUCAGUUCCAGAGCUGCUACAGUGCCCACAAAGAGCUACUUCUGUCAACUAAGCUCAUGCUCUGAAAACUGUAAAAAACGUUGUGAUGUUGAAGAGAGCUUCUCUUAAAGAAGAAAAUAGAGUAUGAUGUGGUAUUGGUUAUUAAUGUUCCCUAAAAGCAUGCCAUGAGAGCUUUAACAAAGUUGUCUUCCAAAGUUUAAAAGCUUGUAAAGACAAACUUGUUGCAGAUCUCGGUACUUCACAGGUGACAGAUGAGCUGUCAGCAGCUCAUGCUCCCAGAUCUGCACCACAGCAGAUGGUCCCAGUUCCUCUACUGGGCUGCUGAGCUGUCACCUCUGGUCCGGGCAAGACACUGAGCUCUACACCUUGGUGUUGUGUUGGCAGAGCUGCACAGUGUCAGAAAGCUCCUGAGUCACCAAGAUUACCAGUUCUGCUUUAGGAGAUUAAAUACUGAAAAGUGUUGGCUGGUGCGUAUUGGCACCUGGAAAUACUCAAUUUCUCCUAGCACUGUGCGAUUCCUUUCAGUGAUGAGCUUUCUGUGAACACAAUCACAGAAUUUAAAAGGAUGGAAUAUUAUCUUUCCUCCAAAGCUCUAGUUAAAAAAUGUAUGUUAAGAUUAAUACUGUGUUCCUGAGAUAAAGAAAACAUUUCUAUUUUUGUGUCUGAAGAUGAAUGCUUUGAUCCCACUGACUUUAACCAAGUUUAGUAGGAAAGUUGAAGCUACUUUAGCCUGAGGUGAAGAGAAAAGAAGUUUGACAGGGAUGAAUGUCUCCAAGAUGGAAAUUUCUGCAAGUUUUGUGGAAACCUAUUUUCCCUGUGUCUGAAGACCAUGCAGAUUAGUGUCCUGAAGGAGAAGUGUGAGCUGGAGCUCUCCUGUGAGAUAUCAAGAGUAUUCCACUGGAGAAGAGAAGCUGAAGGUUCCGGAUCUUCAGAACCAGAAUGAGCACAGCUUUGUUAGCUGCUUACAAAACUGUUUGUUCUCGCUUGCAGUAGUGCUAAGUAGCAGUAAGGAAGAGAAUUUGAAAGUUAGAGCUGCUAAAAAUCAGCCAUGCUCCAGAGCACGAAGAAUUGUUGCAUCACUUUAUGUGGUUUCAGACAUUUGUAAAGAGGAAGACUCAGAUUAGCCCCCAAGAGAGAAAGCAAAAAGCAAGGAACGUCAGAAUCGAAACAAACAAUAAGAAUAAACAUAUACAGUUUGAUAUAUAUACUAGAACUGAUAUUAAAUUCGACUAUGAGAAACAAAAUUAAGUAUAACUGGUGCUGUAUCCUGGCAUCAGGACAAACUAAAGCUUUCAGCUCCAAUAUAUCUUCUCGUGCAGGGGAAAUUAAGUUGUUGCAUCUUUAAGUACAUUGUAGUUUAUUUUUGCCCAAGUGGAUCUGCAUUAAUUUGUAUCUUUUUUCUAUGUAAAAUUCUGUAGAAAUCAUUAAUAAAGGUGUGUCUGUUUUUAUUUUUUUAAGUUGGUAAACAGUUAUAUUAACCUAAUGUGGACCUAUACAUGAGCAUACUAAAGUGUCAGUGCUUCCCAAAGACUUUAUUUUGGCACAAAUUAUGUUCCUAGCCAGAUAUAGAGAUUAUGGAGAAUACAUGACAAAUCUUCCUUUAUCCUUCUCCCAAUCCCUUUUUCUUCAUGGCAGAAGUAAGGAACCAUGCAUUGAUUUUUUUUUUUUAUCAUUUGAAAAAAUAAAACCUCCUAAGAUACUGCACUUCAGAAUUUAAAAUUAAAAAAACCCUAAAUUUCUGAUCACUUUGUGCAGAUGCUCUGCCUCUUUAUUUAUCUGUACAAUUACUCUUUUAAAACUGCUGAUGCGCCAUGUUGGUUUUUUCUGUCUAGUAGAAAAUCAAAUUGUCAGUGGAAUUGUUUCUCUGGAAAAUAUUUCCCUUUCACAUUCUGUUAACCAGUGCUUCAGUGUGCAUCUGUUAUUCCAUAUCCUGCCGAGGGUGAGCGAGACGCUUUCUCUCAGCCAUAAUUCUGCUUUACGGUUUUUGUAGCUUAAUUAAAUAAUAAUGUGAUGCUAUCGACAUUGCAGGGGUUUUAAACAAUGUGUUUAAACCUUUCAGCUUUCAGGUGUUAUUAGUUAAUUGCAGAUCAUUUUUAAUCCUUCCCUUCAUUACUCUCUCCCAACCCCCCCAAAUCCUAAUGCCAUUUAAAGUUUUUAUACCGAUAAUGCUGAGCUUUAACGUAGGAACUAAUAGUACGGAUAAUAUGAUGGAUUAUGCCUCAGAUGUUUAAAAUUGACAGUGUGUAUGUCUAAUUUUUUUUUUCUGUUGGAUGAGUAAAAAAACCUGUUUUAAGAAAUUGAAUUUGCUGUCAUGUUUUUGUGGAGUGAGGGGACCGUCGGAGAACCUGUCACCAACUGGAGUUCCAGUUAAGCAUGGAAAUGGUGCUCAUGUCCGCUGCUCUAGCACACUGAAUCUGCACGUGUUUAUUGUAGAGGAUCUUUUACUAUAUUAGAAAGCAAGUAUCUUCUGAAUACUAUUUACUCCAAAAGGACCUCCAAUUUAAAUAAAGUUUAAUCUGUAUCAUUUAGACUUGUAUUUAGAACGUAUAACUCUGUCUCUGGACUGUUACUGCCUGUAAGGAGUAAUGGACAGCAUCAGAUUAACUUUUUCCUCUAGGAGAAUACAAGCCUUAAUAAACAAUACAUAUUUAGCAA